GCGACGAUGCGACGAGGCGACGAGUUGACACACCGCUGCUGAUAAUCCACGACGUUUUUACGAGGCGAUUGAUCGUCGUGUUGUCCACCACUUUAAAAGGUCGAAAGCACGACGGCCGUUUCCUGUCUGCCAAAGUACUAUAUCGCGACAUUUAAACCCCGCUCUCGUUCGUUCCUUUGUCGUCUAAUGUCACGAAAUAAAAUAUCGAAUAGAAUAAGACCGUAUCGUUCGAAAUGGGAAUAGUCGGGGAAUGAAGAAAGGAACAUUUCCGCAUUCUUCGUACGUAUUGUCAGUAGUACCAUUCGCGUUUGCACAAAAGUAUCGCAUUCUCAUACGCUUAUCGACCUCGGUCGCCGCAUCUCUUCGCUCGCUACUCGUCGUAUAUGACCCUUCGGCGGCUAGCGAAGCGAAGUCAAUGACCGUCGAAAGCCCAUGUGGACAUCCGUGUCCACUCGCCCGUCGUCGAUAGGGAUGGUAACGACGGGAACGUGUUAUGAGUAACGAGGCAAACACGAAUAUAUAUUUUUUUUUAAAGGUCUGGGCUGUCGAAGAGAGGAUAUUAAAGUUUGUGAAUUGUAGACUGUAGAUAGUUAUUCUCACAGUGCUUGGUUACAAACGGAACGUGCUUGUAGUGUAGUAUGAAAAUAACAGUAAAAUAACAUGGUUGAUGUAUCGUACAGAAAUAUGCGAAAGCGAAUGUAAAAUCGAACAUUUUAAAUCAUCAUUUCCUUCCUAUCUCGGUUCGAGUGUUCACAAAACAAUUUACUUAUUUGCUAAUCAAUUGAUAAACUUCUUCUUACGUAACUGCAAUUAUUUUGCAAACAGUUCUCAUGUUUAUCGUAGAGGAAGGUGAUGUUCUUUUGACCCGUUGCACCGUUGAUUAUGCUAUUUUGUGCAACCAUUUAUUGAAGUUACUAAUAAAAGUAAAAAUAUAUAGUUCGACUUUUAAAAGUGCUUUAUAGCUUAGAAUGUUAAUAAUAAAAAAAUUAUGUCGCUAUGAAAAAUCAUUUAUUGUUUGAGCACAUGCAAAGUAAUUUGUAAGUUUUUCGUCUUAUAAAUUAUAUUUGAAUUGUCUAUAUUAUUAAGUAGAUUAUUUCGAAAAAAUUAAUUACAUUCAACACUCACUAAAUUUUAAUCUACAAUUUAUAAAGUUACAACAAAUAGAAAAUAAGCAAAGAUUUUAUUUUUGAUCAGUAAGAAAUAUUAUAUUUUGAAAAAGAUGAAAGUAUAACAAAAAGUCAAGUAAGUUAAAGGUAAAGUUAAAGGUGAAGAUAAAGGUCAAGAUAAAAUUUUGAAAAAGAUAUUAAAAGAAAAUUUUAUUUUUAAUAAGAUUGAAUUUGUAACAUGAAAUUCUAUUCUUAUGUUAUUAUUUUGAUCAAAAUAAUUUUCAUAUAUUUUAUAAAAUUACGUAAACUUUACGCAAUGUAAAAAAAUGUUAAAAAUAAUGUAAAUAUGUAAAAUUAUUUUUUCUUUAUAUUUUUUUAUCUAUUGGUCAGAAAUACAUUAUGGAUGUUAUACCUUUGAUCAAAAUUCAAUUUUUUUUUCUUAAAAAAAUAAAUAUUAAAAAAUAACAAUUUAAAUAUACAAAAAAAUAUACAUAAAUGUCAAUACUUGAAAAAAUAUUUUAGAAUUGUUUUUGUAUUUUUAGAUACUAAAAUAAAACUUAAACGAUAAAAAAUAUCAAAAUUUGUCAAAAUGGCACAUCACUUUCCUCUAUAUUUCGUCUACGCUAAAUGUUUGUUUUAUUUGUAUUUCAGUACAUUUUAAUUCAAGAUAGUAAUGGAAUCUUUUCACUCUGUACAUCGUGUUCAUUCUUUACGUUACGUGUGAUCAUAGCGAAGCGCUACUCACUGCAAAGUGAAAAUCUCGAUCUCUACACAAGGCAGACUAUAAAAGAGUAGCUCUCGGUUAUACAAAGGAAAUUAAUCAUACGCGGAGAAGCCAACUUAUCUCGUUUCUUCUUUACCGCGUGAAAUUUUAUUUUGAUGAUAAUCUGCGCAUUGCGCAAAUCCUCAAGGAAACAGUACUUACUCCAAUAUAUAGAGAUCUUUCACAAUCGAAGCAGACCGUUGUAAGUUUACUCGAUAUACCCGCACGACUUAACACGUGCACGAUUCGCUCUUCUCUCGCAGCCCAACUUUCCCCGUCGUGAAAUUCAUAUUAUUUGUACGCGUGUGUAUCUUGCGCAUUACGCGAAUCUUCCUCGGUUUUCUUUUCGUCGGCGCGUAAAUCACAUAAUGUACAGUAAAUACGGUACAAACUACCGUUUUACCUGUACAAUUAAGAAUAAGAAACAUUGUUUCAUUUAUCUUCUUGUAUGCGGAAUAUAUGCUGGAUUUUAUAUUAAGUAUGUAUUGCAUCUAUUAAUUUUAAAAUAAUAAAGAAACUACUAAAAAAUUAUAAAUUAUUAUAUAUUAAAAAUAAUACAAAAAAUUCGGCGACGAUCCUCUACCUGAAUCAAAAAUUAUUUUAAUAGAAGUAAAAAUAUGCUGUAGAGAAAAUAUAUUAUAUUAAGAAAUAAUGAAAAAAAAUCUAAAUAUUUUAAUAUAAAUAUACUUUAAAUAUAGAAAAUGAAAUUAUGUUAAGUUAAACAACAUAAAAAUGUUGUUUAACAAAAAUAGAAUGUUACAGACACCAUUUUCAUAUGCAUACAGUUCAUUUAAAAUAAAAAUAUUAACAUAUUUGUAAAAAUGAGUGUAAUACAUCCUUAAGCUAUCAAACAUCACGUUUCUUAAGCAGAGAAAUUUUUAGAGUUAAAUUCAUUUUUUUCAUGUUUUUGCUCACAUUUUCCUAGCAUAUAGAUCUCGACAUUAUAGAUCUCGAGUGCCGGUCACCUCCGCCAGUUGCACUUCGCGCGAUUCUAUGCGUCGGCACUCGUCGACUUGUACAAAUGCAUGCACGAACACAGCGAUGCUAUCGCUGUUGGAGCGGUCGUGUCAAGUGCCGGGCGUUUACUCGAGAAGCUCGCCUUCGCCUUCGUGGCUUAUUACGAGGUGUUCGGAGUCGAGCCACGGUGAAACCACGAUGCGCCUUGUCCUACUUGCUUGCUGAACGUCUUCGUGCACGGGAGACGAGAGAUAGAAAUGAUUCUAGUGAGGAAACGUGCGCAGCGAGUUCCUUGAUGCUUGGCACGCGUUUUUAUAGAUCUACAUUUUUUUUCUCACUAUACGCAGUCUGGUGCGAAAAUCGAUGAUUUUAUGCGAUAUUGAUAUUGAUAAUCUUAGCUAUAAAAAAUCAUCUCUCGCCUCCGAAUAUGGUGUAGAACGCGUGAAGCACGGCGUCCUCGGUGACUUCUCUUUACGUACCGUAAAGAUACAUCCGGAGGUCUCGUCCUUCGAGCAACGAUGUCUUCUCAGGGACAACAAACGCGGAACCAGAAUCACCGAGGUCGCCAUGCGCUAUGCGUUGGCGAAAGGAAAACAGAAUUGUGAAUGCCGUCCGCACAACUUGUAACUGCUGCUUUUUUUCUCAAAUAACAUUAAAUUGAAUUUAUAAUAUAAAUUGAAUUUGUUUAUAAAAUCGCGGAUAUAUGUGUACAUAUAUAUGCUAAAUAAUUUAUUGUAUGCGAGUAAAUACAAAAAUAAUUCAUUGGAUAAACUUCUGAAAAUAACACCCGUAAAUUUCAGUUAGUCGGACAAAACAAAGCGAUAUCACACUAAUCGAAUUAAACAAAAAGAUGCAAUAAAAAA